UACGUAGGGGGCAAGCGUUGUCCGGUAUUAUUGGGCGUAAAGCGCGCGCUGGCGGUAUUUUAAGUCUGGUGUAUAAACCAAGGGCUCAACCUUUGGACGCAUUGGAAACUGGGAUACUGGAGUGUAGGAGAGGAAAGUGGAAUUCCACGUGUAGCGGUGAAAUGCGUAGAGAUGUGGAGGAACACCAGUGGCGAAGGCGACUUUCUGGCCUAUAACUGACGCUGAGGCGCGAAAGCGUGGGGAGCAAACAGG
rnacentral:rRNA from 1 species